CAGUGCCACCCUCGGGGUGUCACCGCCUCCCAGACGGGUGUCACGGGGGCUGCGGUCAGGAAGGGGGAAGGAAACGGGUGGCAUGUGACAUCUGUGACAUGUGACACUUGUGUCCCCAAGGAGAUUCUAUUCCCCCACGUGUGAUGGGACACGUGUCCCCGAGGAGAUUGUCCUUCAUGUCUGGUGGGACACGUGUGUCCCCAGGGGAGACCCUCAUGUCCCCGUCUAGGGGGGUAGACCUUUGGAAAACAGGGACCUAAAGAGGUUUUGGGGCCACCAGAUGGAAAUGGGGACAACCUCAGGGACCUUCAGGUGGCCUUGUCCUCUUGGGGCCACCAAGUGAUGGCGUUCGGCCUCCUGCGACCUGUUUUGGGGUGAAACCACUGCGUUUUGGGGCCGUGGCAUCUCAUCAUCAUGGUCCCUUUUGUCCCUCAGCUCAUCCUCUUUGGCCUCAGCAACCAGAUGGUGGUGACCUUCAAGGAGGAGAACACGAUGGCCUUCAAGCACCUCUUUCUGAAGGACUAUGUGGACGGGGCUGAGGACUCCUAUGCCGUCUACACCCAACACGACCUCUAUGACCGCGUCUUCUACGCUGUGGAGAAGUACUUGGCCAUUCCCAAUGAGACCAUCGGCCGUUACGCCUACGUGCGGGGAGAGAACCAGUCGGCCCUCACCCUCUGCCAGCGCUUCUAUCGCAAGGGACGCAUUGACCCGGCCAACGACACCUUCGACAUUGACCCCCGGGUUGUCACCGGUGGGUUUUGGGGACCUUGGGGCUGAGGUUCCUUCUCCCAAGGCCACCACAGGGACCGGGAGUGGGUUUUUUCCUCUCUAUCUUGGGUUUGAGAAGGUCAAAGAGGUCUUUUUUGGGGCCCCUUGGCCUUCACUGUGAAGGUGAAGCUAAUGACGCCUUUGACAUAGACCCCCAGGUCAUCACCAGUGGGUUUUGGGGUCCUUGGGGAUGAGGUUCCUCACCCUGGAACCACCACAGGGUCCUGGGGUGGGUUUUUUCCUCCUUAUAUUGGGUUUGAGAAGGUCCAGGAGGUCUUUGUGUUGGAUUUCCCUGAAGGUGAAGCCAACAACACCUUCAACAUUGACCCCCAGGUCGUCAUUGGUGGGUUUUGGGGACCUCAGGGCUGAGGUUCCCAGUCCCAAGGCCACUGCAGGGUCCAGGGGUGGGUUUUUUCCUUUCUAUCUUGGGUUUGAGGAGGUCAAAGAGGUCUUUAUGGCACCUCCAACCACUUAUCCCAGGUUUGAGAAGGUCUAAGAGGUCUAUUUUGGGGCCCCUUGGCCUUCACUGUGAAGGUGAAGUCAAUGACACCUUUGACAUCGAUCCCCAGGUCAUCACCAGUGGGUUUUGGGGUCCCCUUGGGGAUGAGCUUCCUCAUCCUGGAGCCACCGCAGGCUCCUGGGGUGGGUUUUUUCCUCCUUAUCUUGGGCUUGAGAAGGUCUAAGGGGCGUUUUUGGGGCCUCCAACCCCUUCUCCUGAGCUUGAGAAGGUCCAGAGGGUCCUCGUGGGGCCUCAACCCCAUUCUCCUGGGUUUGAGAAGCUUCAAGGGGGUCUUUGUGAGGCCUCAAACCCUGUUUGAGAAGGUCCAAAUGGGUCUCUGUGGGGCCUGGGCCUCCCCUGAAGGUCCUUCUCCUCCCCAUAGAUUGUGUGGGGGUGGACCCUGAAGACCCCCAACCCCUCCCCCCGGGGCUCGACCGCAGCUACAGGAACAUCACCCUCAAAUUCCACAAGUAAAUGCCCAAAUUCCUCCCCCCACAGUAUCCCCUUUUUGGGGGGCUGGGGAGCAGCUAUGGGGCUAUGGGUAAUGAGGGGUGCUAUGGGGCUGGGGGGA
ensembl:lncRNA